UGGCGAACGGGUGAGUAACAUAUCGGAACGUACCGAGUAAUGGGGGAUAACUAAUCGAAAGAUUAGCUAAUACCGCAUAUUCUCUGAGGAGGAAAGCAGGGGACCUUCGGGCCUUGCGUUAUUCGAGCGGCCGAUAUCUGAUUAGCUGGUUGGUGGGGUAAAGGCCUACCAAGGCGACGAUCAGUAGCGGGUCUGAGAGGAUGAUCCGCCACACUGGGACUGAGACACGGCCCAG
rnacentral:rRNA from 1 species